rnacentral:tRNA from 1 species
GGCUCAAUGGUCUAGGGGUCAUGAUUCUCGCUUUGGGAGCGAGAGGUCCCGGGUUCGAAUCCCGGUUGAGCCC